CCUUUUUAUACUUUUCUAAGUCAUUCGCUAUCAAAGGAUUUUAAUACAUAAAUCUCAAUUGCUUGACAUUCCAAACCAUAUAAGACACACAUCAGAACUUUGAGAUUGAAAGGUUCAUAAGGAUUUUGAAGAAGGAAAUGUAUCCCUUAACAACUUGCAGAAGGUAUGAGGUAGAAAUGGCAGAAGACUACUUGAUUAAGCACUCCUCCCAUACUAAAUAGGGAGUUGGCGAUAGGUCAGCUUCUAGCAACUGUAGUAGUCUUCAACCCUAAUAGAAGUUCUUUUAGCCGGCUCAGCUCCCAGACAUGUGGUAUCACAUUGCUAGGUCAAAGUGCAAGCUGGAUGCCAUUCUCUAUUGCCACCAGCAGGGGCAGUGUUGGGCCUCCAGGCCAGGGCUCCUCUGUCCACUGGGAAAUUCUCAGUUCCCUUCCGGUCCUCUUUCCGUUCCUAGGGAGAACUUCCGGGAGCAACAGAAAUAACCAGGAUCCAGCUACCAUCUCUCUCGGGUUUGUCCAUCCACGUAAUUCUCAGUUCGGAGUCAAAUGUCAUUGGAUGUUGAAUUCUGUUGCCCGUUUUUUUUUUUUUUUUUCUUUUCCUUUCUGCAUGGAAAGCAUCCUUCUCCGUUAUUAAUGGUUUCCUGGAUUCCAUUGUGAAGGCGGCCAUCAUGAGAGAAUCCUUCCCAGAGAGUAUUGGAAGGUUGCUGAUCCAUUUUCACCAUUUCUCCAAGUAUAGUUUGAAACAGUAACUGUCAGAUUCCAGAGACAUCAGGUACCUGUGAUGCUGAAAUGCGUCUGUGCUUUUGGGAUUGAAUCAAAUCAGCCUGUAUUUAAACAGCUGUCCCUUAUGGGGGAUGUAUAUGAUGAGACACUGCUGGUGAGCACUUGGACUCAUUUGACUUCUUGAAUUGAAAAAGGAACUGGCACAGAUCUCCAAGCCGUGGCAGCAAUGGCAUCAUCCAGAGUCUGUCUAUAGUGGUAGUAUUUUUGGU